UGAAGGUAAUUGAAUGAAACUGAACUUUUAUGUUGCAGAACCAAUCUCAAGAAAAAACAAGGGAAAGUUCAUCUCACAUUAAAUUAAAUUAACCUACCUGUAACAUGUGAAUUAUAACAAGUGAUAUGAUGAGCCCAUCUGUUGGGGCAAGCCUAAUUCUCCUGUAAUCUUCUGUAGUUAUAUCCCUACCAAUCAGAUCCUUCAGGGAAAGGCUCCAAUGC
rnacentral:misc_RNA from 1 species